CGAAGAUAUCCUUGUAUUGACGGAAGAAGAAGAGAACACUCCAUUGUUUGUCAGUCCUCGAUCUAGAAGCACUGUUCGGGGUCUCCUUCUCGCCUCUCUUAACGGGAAGACAAGACACCCCAGAGACACCCUAGGAAUAAGGAUGAGUGAAUCCGUGAGAGCUUGGAUGUAUUUUAUUUGACAUUUCCUUGUGGUGUCAACGUGACCAGCCUGAAAGGACAAGCGUUGAAUUUUCUAUCAUCACGUACCACUUCCAUACACGUACUUUGUUUCAUCGCGCCAAGACGUGUUUAUAAUUAAGAGCUCCUGACAAUAUACCGUAAAAUUUACUGGCUUAUAUUUGACCAUUUUUACCUUGAAGUCAUUAUGGUCGGCUUACGUAACUAAGAGGGAUUAUCAAUUAAAGGAACUUACGUUUCAACAACGGUUGUGCUUAAAUUCAGGAGAAUUUAAGUCUCAGCAUGUCUCUUUCAUGCAAUAUCCUGUGAAGAGGUCUAUACAUGUAGUACAAGACUUAUAAUCUGAACAAACCACAGGUUAACCAAACCCGCAAAUGAGCGUCCCUUAUACAUUCAGGUUACGCAACAGUCGAAAUACAAGGAUUUGUGUUAGGAAAAUGUUAUGUUCUUAACCCUAAAAGAUACGACGGAAUAUGAACAAAAUAAACCUCCUUCGCUUCAGGCGUGUGUUUUGGUUUCCCGGUGAGGUUUUUAGACCAAUUUAUGGCAAUUUAGGCGGCUUUUAGCUUCGCUGGUUUGUCAUAUAUAGAGCACAAAGGGACGCUCAUUUGUGAGUUUGGGCAACCUGUGAAGAAACUAUAUCAGCUUUCGUUAAGUUCUUGAAAUCGUACAGUACCGAUAACAAGCGAACCUGUCCCUAAGAUACGCCCUUCGGUAAACUAACCACCCCAAACGUGGGAAUCAAAAUCGUUUCUUUAAUAACCUUCAUGUUCCAAAAAAUAAUCCGUUCCCCAAUAAGUUUUCAUUGA
rnacentral:misc_RNA from 1 species